rnacentral:tRNA from 1 species
GGUCUUUUAGUUGUUUCAAUAUUAAAUUGCAAAUUUAAAGAUGUAUUAUAUACAGAGACUU